GGAUCCCAUCAGAACUCCGAAGUUAAGCGUGCUUGGGCGAGAGUAGUACUAGAUAGGUGACCUCCUGGGAAGUCCUCGUGUUGCAUUCCCC
rnacentral:rRNA from 1 species